rnacentral:rRNA from 1 species
AUUGAACGCUGGCGGCAUGCUUUACACAUGCAAGUCGAACGGUAACAGGUCUUCGGAUGCUGACGAGUGGCGAACGGGUGAGUAAUGCAUCGGAACGUGCCCAGUCGUGGGGGAUAACGCAGCGAAAGCUGCGCUAAUACCGCAUACGAUCUAUGGAUGAAAGCGGGGGACCGUAAGGCCUCGCGCGAUUGGAGCGGCCGAUGUCAGAUUAGGUAGUUGGUGGGGUAAAGGCUCACCAAGCCAACGAUCUGUAGCUGGUCUGAGAGGACGACCAGCCACACUGGGACUGAGACACGGCCCAGACUCCUACGGGAGGCAGCAGUGGGGAAUUUUGGACAAUGGGCGCAAGCCUGAUCCAGCAAUGCCGCGUGCAGGAAGAAGGCCUUCGGGUUGUAAACUGCUUUUGUACGGAACGAAACGGUCCUGGUUAAUACCCGGGGCUAAUGACGGUACCGUAAGAAUAAGCACCGGCUAACUACGUGCCAGCAGCCGCAGUAAUAC